CGGGCUCAAUUUCCUUGGAACAGGAGGUCAUGGAGGGUGAGAACCCCGUCUAUGGCUCGGAUCUUGCCCGAGAUGAGUGUCGUUUCCUCGAAGAGUCGGGUUGUUUGGGAAUGCAGCUCAAAAUGGGUGGUAAAUUUCAUCUAAGGCUAAAUAUUGGCGAGAGACCGAUAGCAAACAAGUAGAGUGAUCGAAAGAUGAAAAGUACUUUGAAAAGAGAGUGAAACAGUAUGCGAAAUUGUUGAAAGGGAAGCGUUUGGCAUCAGCCCAUGGCCUCUGGCGAUCAUCCAGGCUUCUGCCUGGUGCACUUUUCAGUGGCUGGGCCAGCGUCAGCUUUGCCUGCCGGAGAAAGGCCUCGGGGAUGUGGCUCCCUCUGGGGAGCGUUAUAACCCUUGGCGUAAUGCGGUGCGGCGGGGCUGA
rnacentral:rRNA from 1 species